AGGUAGAGAGACUCAUUCAGACCUGGGGACAUCAGGUAGAGAGACUCAUUCAGACCUGGGGACAUCAGGUAGGAAGAGAAAGCAGAAAUGUUUUGGCCCUCAGGACCUGAAUAAUACUUUGACAUUGAAACACAACAGCUAUACAUAACUAGGUGAAAGCAGACCUGACGCAACACACACACACACACAAUAAGCACACGCACACACACACACACACACACACACACACACACAAUAAGCACACUGUGGUAAGACUGUUUUGGGUUGCAUUUUGUCUGCAUUUAGCCAAUCUGUAACAAUCAGAAGAAUAAAAUACACAUCCAAACAUCUUGACCUUUCAACAAACAGCAAGAUGGAAAUGAACCUUGUGAAGGAAACAGCAACAUAAAGUGUUUUAAUAGGAGGUAACUGGCAGAAUAAAGGAAACUCCAGGUCCUCCACCAACCACCAGGUAACUGCCAGAAUAAAGGAAACUCCAACAUAGUGUUUUAAUAGGAGGUCGGGUCGUCCACCAGGUAACUGGCAGAAUAAAGGAAACUCCAACAGUGUUUUAAUAGGACGUCGGGUCGUCCACCAGGUAACUGGCAGAAUAAAGGAAACUCCAGGUCCUCCACCAACCACCAGGUAACUGGCAGAAUAAAGGAAACACCAACAGUGUUUUAAUAGGAGGUCGGGUCGUCCACCAGGUAACUGGCAGAAUAAAGGAAACUCCAGGUCCACCAACCACCAGGUAACUGGCAGAAUAAAGGAAACUCCAACAGUGUUUUAAUAGGAGGUCGGGUCGUCCACCAGGUAACUGGCAGAAUAAAGGAAACUCCAGGUCCUCCACCAACCACCAGGUAACUGGGAGAAUAAAGGAAACUCCAACAGUGUUUUAAUAGGACGUCGGGUCCUCCACCAACCAGAACAGCUUUAAUACACCUUGACAUCGAUUCUACAAGUGUCUGGGAAGUCUAUCGGAGGGAUGAGACGCCAUUCUUCCACGAGGAAAUUCCAUCAUUUGGUGUUUUGUUGAUGGUAUUGAAGCCACCUUGCAGCCAUUUUGGCUCUCCUUAAUGAUGUGUAUAAACCCUGGAUGGCUGACAGGGGGGUGCUGUAUUGAAGCCACCGUGCAGCCAUUUUGGCUCUCCUUAAUGAUGUGUAUAAACCCUGGAUGGCUGACAGGGGGGGGGCUGUAUUGCAGCCAUUUUGGCUCUCCUUAAUGAUGUGUAUAAACCCUGGAUGGCUGACAGGGGGGUGCUGUAUUGAAGCCACCGUGCAGCCAUUUUGGCUCUCCUUAAUGAUGUGUAUAAACCCUGGAUGGCUGACAGGGGGGUGCUGUAUUGAAGCCACCGUGCAGCCAUUUUGGCUCUCCUUAAUGAUGUGUAUAAACCCUGGAUGGCUGACAGGGGGUGCUGUAUUGCAGCCAUUUUGGCUCUCCUUAAUGAUGUGUAUAAACCCUGGAUGGCUGACAGGGGGGUGCUGUAUUGAAGCCAUUUUGGCUCUCCUUAAUGAUGUGUAUAAACCCUGGAUGGCUGACAGGGGGGUGCUCUAUUGCAGCCAUUUUGUCUCUCCUUAAUGAUGUGUAUAAACCCUGGAUGGCUGACAGGGGGGGGGCUGUAUUGAAGCCACCGUGCAGCCAUUUUGGCGCUCCUCCAUUGUAAAUAAUAUGUUGGACGAUAUAGAAAUCCAUUUACUAAAUGUCAUUACAUUAAUUUCUGACAUGUUUAUUCCAUUAAGACACCGUAAUGUAUAAUUUUACAUAUGUGAGCUAAACUAAAAUAUUUUUUUAGCGCCCCCCCCAACCCCUUUAAAAAUACUAAUGUUACUGUCCCCCACUACAAACAACAACAAAUACUUAAAUACAUGUAAUGUUGUUCUUGAAACCUUUAAUUGUAAUGCUGUAAACUUUCCAUUCAAUCCUAUGGAGGACUGUCAAAAUGGCCG
rnacentral:lncRNA from 1 species